GCCCCAAAAUGUUUAGUUUGUUAUCUGUACAUUUCCUAAGGAAGAACUAAGAAUCUGUGCUGAUUGUUAAUUCCAGCCAUGACUGAGGAUUUUCUAAAGUGCAGUAAUCAUUUAGCAGGCUAUUAUUUUGCAUAAUACUUUGGUUUUAGAGGUUGUUUAUUGUAUCUGUUGAGUUUGGAUUUGUGUAGAGUAGGUUGCCCAGUCGUGUUUCAGAAAUUUAACAAUGCUAUCUAAGUAUAUAAAUCAUCCUUUUUUUUUUUUUUUUUGCCAACUGGCUAGACAUUACCAGUAAAUGGCAAUCAAUGUGCAGAGAAUCAAAGGAAUAUUAAGUAUGGACAUCUCCAAAUUGAGAACUCAGAGAGGUUUAUUAUGUCUCUAUUUGUUAGAAAGUGUUUAUGUGCAAAUCUGUCUUUUUUGCACAGAUAAUCAUAUGCCUGCAGCAGAUAGAAAAUUGAAGAAAGGAGUGGUGUGCAUCUAUAAUUCAAAUUAUCUUAUUUAGAGAGAACUACGGCAUGUAGGAAGAAUAACGUAUUUCCUUUAUUGAAAGUGCACAAUAGAAACUAUAAAAAUCACAAUAUUGUUUACAUGAGAGUAUGGUGACAUGCAAUUACUGAUUUUAACCUUAUGGAUAUCAUACCAAAUGGAAAAUAGUGUUAGACAUGUCACUUCCUUAAAUAGCCAAGAACAGUAAUGAUGCUGGUCCUGAAACAGCAGCAUUAGCAUCACAUGGGAACUUGGUAGAAAUGCAAAUUUCCAGUCCCACCUAGACCUACUGAGUCAGAAACUCUGAGAGUGGAACACUAAAAUUUGUUUUUUAAUAAGCACUCUAGGUGAUUUUAAUGCAUGCUAAAAUUUAAGAGCUACUGUACUAAACAAAGCAGCUAAGGAUAAUGGUUGAAAUCUGAGCAGCAACCAGAUAAUAAUGAUCAGUUUUGUCACAUUUGUAGAUAGAUAGUCAUUCUAUUUGCCCUCAGCUUCCUAACGCUGCCUUUUUUGUCUUAAUGGCCAGAAUCACUACCUGAUGAACACCUCCUCUAGAAUAUCAUCUACAUGAGGGCAAGGACUCUGUCUCUUGUGUUUAUUGCCUUUUACCCCAGCACCAGAGACAGUGUCUGAUAUAUAGAAGGUAAUUCAAUACAUAUUUAUGGAAUGAAUAAAUUGCUGAGAGUUCAAUAAUUUAACUAAACAUUAAAUUAUGUUAAUGGAUAAUUAGUAUCAAUUAAUUUUUAAGACAGAUGUAGAUAGAUGUGUUCGCUUUUAUUAAUAAUAUGUAAAUCUUGUAUCACCCUGGAAUGUAAAGUAAUUUUAGUCAAUAUAGUUUGCUAAGUGUAAUGAAAUAUUUACUACUUAAAGUUUGUAUAAUGUGAAGCCACCUUUUUCAUAAAUCUACCAAUCACCUUCAAGACAGGGGUGUGAUUAUUUUAAUGCAUGUACUUUGGAAUUAGUUGGUAAAAUUUGAAAUGCCAACAAACUUUUGGUUUAGGGGGGUGUGUGUAAGUGUGUUAGAGAGUUGCGUUCCCUGUACUUUUUAUGAAAAGGAUUCUCAAGGGUGAAAAAAUGCCCUAAAAAUUGGAAUAUUCAACCAAGACACAGAAAAAGAAGUUGAGAUAAUUGUGGUGAUUAACACUCCGAUAUAAUGUCCAAAAUGUCGUUUUCACUAGCAACCGAACUAAACAGUACUUUAGACACUUGCGUCUCUGUUUUUUGGAACUCUUUUAUAGUAGAGUUUGAGAAUCCUCAAUUUAUCACUAUCAAAUGAUUUUGAAAAAUAGUUAUUUCGUACUAACGACUCUACUGAUUUAACUGGUUAGUGAUCUGAUCUGUGUGAGUUGCUGACUAGAUUUUGAUCUGAGAUAUUCUUUUAUUUAAUGAAAGCAUGUUCUAAGAAGCUUGAAUGUUAAAGAAACUAAGAGUUGUACAUAAUCAAAAGGCUUCCCAGUUUUCAGUGGAAACCCAGAGAGUUGAGGAGAAAAUUAACCACUGGAAUUUUCACUAUGGAGGCUGUUGUUGAUCUGUGCCAAGAAAGUUUCGGUGUUUUUGUGGAAGCUUAAAUCUACUUGCAAUAGACUGCGUAGAAAAUGAUAAGUCAGAAAAUGCUGAACACACCUAAAGUGAAAAAGUCCCUAUUCUCAUUGCCUAGUGUAUUCUCUUUUGAUAAACAAUAAGUAUAGUUGAAUUUUCCUUCAUUAUAAGGUUUAGAAAGGCAAAAAUAUUGAAAAUCAUAAACUUUGAAAUGAAAAAUUGUUAAAGUAUGUCUUAAAAUAGCACAAAUGUUUGUUUUUCAGUUCAGUAUAUGUGGUACCUUUAAAAAUGAGAAUUAAUUUCCUUCUGGCUAAUAUAUUUCUGUCCAAAUAGAAAUGUCGUCACCUUAACAAAGAAUAUGAAAUUUUAAUUUCAACUACAAAAAAAUUUUAAAUUAUAAUUUGAACAACCUGUCAUUUUGUAGUGAAUAACAUUUUUAACCAAUUUUUUUUAUUCAAAGACAGAAAAAACGAGUAGAGAGAGUCAUUAUUCUUCCUGAACAAUAGAAGAAAUGUUAUGCUCAUAUGUCUAAAACAUUGUUUCAAGAGAAAGACCUUUUGAAAACUAAAGAACUACUGAGGGUCCUCAGUCACUCAUAAUUUUUUGUAAUAACAUCUUUAGUCAUAUCCUCCACAUGAAUUCACAUUGGAAAAUUAUAAUACAAUAGGUCUCCAUGUCAAAUAUUAAGCUAAUUGCCAAUCUAGGUGAUAGUCACCUGUCUGCUCUGAGAGUUGAGGUAAGUUUAAUACAGAGACUGUCAAUUCGUCUAGGUAGCUAGAUGAGUAGGUACUUCCUCCAAAAACCUUUUGGAAAUAUGUGAGGUCAAAAAGACCUGUUAAGUUGAAAUCUCUAAGUCUUAAUUGGAACUAUUCAAACUACCCCAUUCUAUCUAACAAACCAUGAGCAAGGAGAUGACAUCACAAUCGCUUAAAAGAAAUACACCAACUCUCCUCACAAACACAAUUUUUCAUGGACUUAAGAGAAUAGAAAGUAUCAUUAUCGGCACACAGCCACAUGACUCUUCAUGACCUUGAACCAUCUUUCUCCCAUAUCAUCUGUUGUUUGUGUCCUGGCACACCGCUCUCACGCAUUAUGAUAUUCCUUUCUUUUGGAAUGCAUUGUGUCAAAUGAAGAACAAGAUUUUUCAGUGAAGCCCAUAUUUCUGAGUAUUGAUUCAAUAAAGUUCUGCACCUUCCAUGGAUGACAAAGGGUGAACAGCAGAAGCAGUGGCCAGAGAAAGCCACCAUCUUGAUCUAAAACAAUUAAUUAUUUUAUGAAAUGUGGAUAACGAAUGAGACAAAGUCAUGAUAAACUGAAAUAUUUAUUGCAAUUUUUAUGUUAACAUAUUUUAACAUUUAUGUUCCACUAAUGGUUCCCUGUUAUCUUUUAGAAAAUAAAACAAUAAGCAUGACAUAUGCCUCAUCUGAAAAAUAAUGUAUUGCCUUUUUUAUCAUCCAAAGAAACAAGUCUUAAUUUAAACUCUCUAAGUUUGGUUUAGUACAAAAUAUGUCAUAGAAAUGAUCUAUUGGGUUUAUCCAAGCUUUUCUAUUUUGAUUUCAAGACAAAUGUUUUAUUCGAUGGUUAAAAAUAUUUUCACUUUAAUGAUUUUUUCAGACACUGGAGGUAUUGCUCUGCCACCAAGGAAAAACAUUUUUUUCUCUAGAUAAAGGUUUUUUUUUUCCCCUCAUCUCUUUGGUUUUAUUUAUGUGCUUUUGUAACUGAGCCAAGAAAAUACUGCUCUGUCAGCGCCAGCAGUGUUUGUGCUGCUGCUAACGCCAUGAAACCUCUUUUCCUUACGGUAAUGGUUACAGUCAUCUGACCUACAGAAAAUGUAUGCCGAUCAUCUGCAAAUGCAUUAGGUGAACAUGAUCUAAAAGUUGAAUACUGAGUUGGAUUUGAUUUAAAGGCACGCCCAGUUCAUACAUCUACAGUCCCAAAUGUUUUUCCAACAUCCAUCCCACUUCUUCGGCAGCUGGGACAGUGAAGAGAAGACGUCUUAGAUGUACAGGCGCAGAAGCCUAGUUCUAUUGCAAGAGGUUGUAUCCACACCUGUGUGCCCUGUGCGGUGCCUUUUGUAUCCUGGAACAUAUGAGAUGCUUUGUGUUUCUUUUGUGUUUGAGAAACACAUUAAUUUUGUGAUUUUCUUACUCUUUUAGUCAAAUUGGGCAAUUCUGCUUAAGAAUUGAAGUUAUAGAGUGAACUAAUUAUUGAAAAUUGAGAACUUGAUAAUUCUAUUAGAUUAAGCAACCUAAACAUAAGAAAUGAAACGAUACUUUCCAAAUGUUUUGGGUGUUAUAACCCCUUAGCAGAAAGUGUGUUUUGUCAAACAUUCCCCUACUUUCAUGUGAUAUUUUAUGCAAUUUAAAGCUUUGUUAAUAACACAUCUCCUGAGUCUGUUAUGAAACUAGAGUGUCACUUCCAUUGUACCCGUGCUCCCUAAGUAGAUGGAAUGUGCAGUGGCUUAAUAAACUGGACAGUGUGGACAAUGGCAUGAGGGCUCUUCCAGUUAUCGACAUAGAUUCUAAAUACUCUUUAGACAAUUAUAAUCAUAAAUAUACUAACUAAAUCUAUGAGAUCAGAGCUAUUCAGCAACUUUAGUGUUUUUAAAAUUUUAUUUUGUAAACAACUGAAAAUAUCCAUUUGAAAUAGAAAAUACAAUGAAGAAUGAUUCAUUUUGAAGCAGCAGACAUGAUGGUCUCAUUAUGUGAAUUAUGAAGAAUUUCCACUUAAAUUUUUUUAAUCAGGCAAGUACUCAUCCAGUAGUCUGAAACUGUUAAGCGAAGUAUUGAGAACUGAAAUUAAUUCAAUUAUUUUAAUUAGUUUAUUUUAAAAAAUUGGAAGUUUUUUCUGUAUCAAUUAGUAUUACUUAAUUUUUUCUUCUCUUCCCAGUCAUGUAUUCCUUGCGAUUAUUAGAUCAGUCAACUUUGAUUGCUAUGCUUGCAAAUUCACUAGAGAGAGGAGAAUACAGUUUUGAAUAAAUUGGUAUUAAAGGAGGCUGUUUAGUGGAAAAGGAAACCUUAAUUCUCAUAGUAUAUAUUUCAUGUAUACUAGUAUAAAAAUUAUCUGAAUUAGAAUGAGUAAGUCUCAUGCUGUAUUUUACAAUUCUUUUUAGGUGGAUGGAUAAGAAAAAAUGACUAAAUUUUGA